GUAGGUGGCAAGCGUUGUCCGGAAUUAUCGGGCGUAAAGCGCGCGCAGGCGGUCCUUUAAGUCUGAUGUGAAAGCCCACGGCUCAACCGUGGAGGGUCAUUGGAAACUGGGGGACUUGAGUACAGAAGAGGAAAGCGGAAUUCCAAGUGUAGCGGUGAAAUGCGUAGAGAUUUGGAGGAACACCAGUGGCGAAGGCGGCUUUCUGGUCUGUAACUGACGCUGAGGCGCGAAAGCGUGGGGAGCAAACAGGGAUUAGAUACCCUGGUAGUCCACGCCGUAAACGAUGAGUGCUAAGUGUUAGGGGGUUUCCCGCCCCUUAGUGCUGCAGCUAACGCAUUAAGCACUCCGCCUGGGGAUACGGCCGCAAGGCUG
rnacentral:rRNA from 1 species